CCAAUAAUUCCAACACACCGGCGUUUUAUGUAGUCGAAGACGACAACGAUGGCCGCCGCGACGCGCGGCACAUUACUGCAGCGCAUUUACUACCUUGCGGCCAAUCCAUCAAGUGUGUUGAUUUUUCAGCCUUACAACCGGGGUGGUGCGGCGUAAUGCGCUGGUUCAGCGGUAACCGUACCGCGGGUUUAAAGUAAACAUCAUCCAAACAAGAAAUCAAGUGAUCCUCGCAAAUCGCGGUCGCGUCUCUGGCCAUCAUAUAUUUCCGGUGCCUUAGCUUGUUUCGCUGGCAAUGGCCGUUCAUGACAAUGGGCUGAAUUUAUGAAACUAAUAUUAACUUUUUUGCAGUCAUUCUUUUAGAAAAUUUAGCUAAUUCGAAUUCGAAGCUAAUUAAUUAUAUUAUUGUUAUCUGUAAUCAUGACGAGAACGGCGAAAUAUCAUGUGCAGCCCGUUGGCAAUGGGAAUCAGGGUUAUUUUGACAAGGGUGGCGACCAGGUGGAUCGGGGUUAUGCGUGGGCUAUUUGCGCUACCGCCGGUCUGAUUUACACCAUCACUGAUGGUGUCAGCUUUUCUACAGGAGUGCUCUUCCCGGAGUUUAUGUCCUACUACAGCUCACCGGCCAAUGAAGCAGCUUGGAUCUCUUCCCUCAUGUUUGGGGCCAUGCUUUUGUCGGGACCACUUAUUGGUGUGCUGAUCAGCCGGUUCGGCGCGCGCGUUGUGGGCUUUGUUGGUUCUCUACUGGCCGCCGGCGGGAUGGUGGCUAGCUUUUGGGCACCUAAUGUUUACUACCUUAUGGGCACAUUAGGCGUUCUAACGGGUCUUGGCUAUGGCUGCAUAAUGCUAGCAGCCUUAACCAGCGUGACCUUCUGGUUUGAUGCAAAACGCGGUUUCGCCUUCGGCCUGGCUGUUGUCAUUUCCGGUCUGGGCACUUUCGUCAUCUCCCUGCUAACUGCCUUUCUUCUGGACCACUAUGGCCUUCAUGGUGCACUUCUUAUUCUUGCCGGUGUCUCCCUACAGGGCUGUAUCCUGGCCCUUCUCCUGCGUCCCGCUCCCAAACACCUUCCGGAGCCUUUGUCCCACUAUCCCAAAAAGCAUUUUGACCCAGCCAUGUUUAAGCGGGUUAAAUUUGAUAUCUUUCUGCUGGCGUGUCUGAUUUUUGCUACCGGAUACUUUCCGAUAUUUAUGUUUGUUACGUCAUGGGCGGAGCAGGUGCUGCAGUUGAACGCGGUAGAUGCGGCGGCUUUCCUGACGAUAAUUGCCGUAGCGCAGUUGGCGGGGAGGAUGGUGUGCGCGGUGUUGAUUGACCGGACGUGGGUCAAUAAAAGUUUCUUACUGGCCGGAGCGCUGUGGUGUGGAGGGGCGGCUGCUUGUUUAUCGCUGUAUUGUACAACGUAUAAAACCGCGGUGAUGUUUUGCUGCGUAUAUGGAUUUGGAGGAGGGUGUGCCAUGGUUGGACUUCCCAUGUUAACGCCUUUGUUGGUAACAAAAGAACAAACCGAAGUGGCGAGCGGCUUUUUUGUUUUUGCCUUUGGCGUAUCCGCCCUAUUAGGCCUUCCAGCCGCUGGUGCUGUUGUGGAAUAUCUCCAAGGAGACUUCCGGUGGCUCAUGGUGGGAUCGGGUGGUUUGAUAUGUGCCGGUUCCUUUGUUGUUGCAGCUAUUGAAUGCCACUGAUCAUACAUGACCAAGUUUCUAGUUGUGGUUUCCGUAUGCAUCGAAUCCAAAUACACAGUAAGAGCCAAACCAGACAGAUUGCCAAUAAAACUGCCGCCGCCUGAUAUAAAAACCCACAAUAUUACCGUCGAAACUCCAACAAUAAUUCCGUAAUAAUCUGGCGAUGAAAUGCUAGCUGAUGACGGACGCGAAGAAUUUUGAGUCAAUCCAGAAAUCACUAAAGCAGAAAUUCGGACAAUGUAGAUAUCAGUACCGUAUGAGUAAUGCGAUUUUGUGGAAAUUAAUAUUUCUACCGGAAGGUCGCUGUAAGACAACACUGCCGAGAAUGGAGCUGAUCUCGUCGUUGCUGAGCAGAUUAACCCGCUCUAACCCGUCAGAUGCAUUUAAAACGCUCCACUGCGGUCCGAAUGCCAGAUCGACGCCAAGCAGCGGAUCACUCACCGUUACGUUCGAUACCGGUGUAACCGUCGUUGUGAAGCCAGGAGUGGUGAUAUUCGUGGCAUUACUUAUCAGCCGUUCGUCUUCUAGAAGUGAG